rnacentral:rRNA from 1 species
CGUAGGGGGCCAGCGUUGUCCGGACUUACUGGGCGUAAAGCGCGCGCAGGCGGACAAGUAUGUGCCGUGUGAAAGCGCCGUCCUUACGAUGGCGAGGUCGUGGUAGACAGCUUGUCUGGAGGCUCGAAGAGGUCGAUGGAAUUCCGGGUGGAGCGGUGAAAUGCGUAGAGAUCCGGAGGAACACCAGGGGCGAAAGCGGUCGACUGGUCGAGUACUGACGCUGAGGCGCGACGGCGUGGGGAGCAAACCGGAUUAGAUACCCGGGUAGUCCACGCAGUAAACGAUGCACACCCGGUGUGGGGGGCGGCUUUAUCGCCGUUCUCCGUGCCCAAGGUUACCUGAUGAGUGUGCCGCCUGGGGACUACGAGCGCAAGCUUA